AUUGAACGCUGGCGGCAUGCCUUACACAUGCAAGUCGAACGGUAACAGGUCUUCGGAUGCUGACGAGUGGCGAACGGGUGAGUAAUACAUCGGAACGUGCCUAGUAGUGGGGGAUAACUACUCGAAAGAGUGGCUAAUACCGCAUGAGAUCUACGGAUGAAAGCAGGGGAUCGCAAGACCUUGUGCUACUAGAGCGGCCGAUGGCAGAUUAGGUAGUUGGUGGGAUAAAAGCUUACCAAGCCGACGAUCUGUAGCUGGUCUGAGAGGACGAUCAGACACACUGGGACUGAGACACGGCCCAGACUCCUACGGGAGGCAGCAGUGGGGAAGUUUGGACAAUGGGCGCAAGCCUGAUCCAGCAAUGCCGCGUGCAGGAUGAAGGCCUUCGGGUUGUAAACUGCUUUUGUACGGAACGAAAAGCCCUGGGUUAAUACCCUGGGGUCAUGACGGUACCGUAAGAAUAAGCACCGGCUAACUACGUGCCAGCCGCCGCCGUAAGAC
rnacentral:rRNA from 1 species